CACGCGGUAAACUAUGAUUACUGGUUGUUCGCGAUACACUGUGAGCGACUGAGCGAAAGCGUUAAGUAAUCCACCUGGGGAGUACGUUCGCAAGAAUGAAACUCAAAGGAAUUGACGGGGGCCCGCACAAGCGGAGGGACAUGUGGUUUAAUUCGAUGAUACGCGAGGAACCUUACCCGGGCUUGAAAUGCGGACGGCAGGCGGAGAGACCCGCCUUCCCCUCGGGGCGUCCGUGUAGGUGC
rnacentral:rRNA from 2 species